rnacentral:rRNA from 1 species
ACUCCUACGGGAGGCAGCAGUAGGGAACUUUUCGCAAUGGAGGAAACUCUGACGGAGCAAUACCGCGUGUGGGAAGAAGAUUUUCGGAUUGUAAACCACUGUUGUAAGGGAAGAACGUUAUUAGUAGGAAAUGGCUAAUAAGUGACGGUACCCUUACCCAGAAAGGGACGGCUAACUACGUGCCAGCAGCCGCGGUAAUACGUAGGUCCCGAGCGUUAUCCGGAAUUAUUGGGCGUAAAGGGCACGUAGGCGGACAAAUAAGUUUGAUGUCAAAUAUGAUGGCUCAACCAUCCAAGAGGCGUUGAAAACUGUUUAUCUAGAAUCUCGGAGAGGUAAGUGGAAUUCCAUGUGUAG